rfam:Caenorhabditis brenneri strain PB2801 C_brenneri-6.0.1_Cont91.14, whole genome shotgun sequence.
AGAUCUACACUCUGAACUUCUACUAACAAAUGAAAAGUUCAGUAGGAGUCAGGGUUAGAUCUCG